rnacentral:rRNA from 1 species
GACGAACGCUGGCGGCGUGCUUAACACAUGCAAGUCGAACGGAAAGGCCCUGCUUUUGUGGGGUGCUCGAGUGGCGAACGGGUGAGUAACACGUGAGUAACCUGCCCUUGACUUUGGGGUAACUUCAGGAAACUGGGGCUAAUAUCGGAUAGGAGCUCCUGAUGCAUGGGGGGGGUUGGAAAGUUUCGGCGGUUGGGGAUGGACUCGCGGCUUAUCAGCUUGUUGGUGGGGUAGUGGCUUACCAAGGCUUUGACGGGUAGCCGGCCUGAGAGGGUGACCGGCGACAAUGGGACUGAGAGACGGCCCAGAAUCCUACGGGCGGCAGUAGUCGAGAACAUUACACAAUGGGCGGAAGCCUGAUGCAGCAGCGCCGCGUGCGUGAUGCCGGGCUUCGGGUUGUAAACCGCUUUCGCCUGUGACGAAGCGUGCGUGACGGUACUGGGUAAAGAAGCACCGGCUAACUACGUG